rnacentral:rRNA from 1 species
GAUGGACCCGCGGCGCAUUAGCUAGUUGGUGGGGUAAUGGCUCACCAAGGCGACGAUGCGUAGCCGACCUGAGAGGGUGAUCGGCCACACUGGGACUGAGACACGGCCCAGACUCCUACGGGAGGCAGCAGUAGGGAAUCUUCCGCAAUGGACGAAAGUCUGACGGAGCAACGCCGCGUGAGUGAUGAAGGUUUUCGGAUCGUAAAGCUCUGUUGUUAGGGAAGAACAAGUGCGAGAGUAACUGCUCGCACCUUGACGGUACCUAACCAGAAAGCCACGGCUAACUACGUGCCAGCAGCCGCGGUAAUACGUAGGUGGCAAGCGUUGUCCGGAAUUAUUGGGCGUAAAGGGCUCGCAGGCGGUUUCUUAAGUCUGAUGUGAAAGCCCCCGGCUCAACCGGGGAGGGUCAUUGGAAACUGGGAAACUUGAGUGCAGAAGAGGAGAGUGGAAUUCCACGUGUAGCGGUGAAAUGCGUAGAGAUGUGGAGGAACACCAGUGGCGAAGGCGACUCUCUGGUCUGUAACUGACGCUGAGGAGCGAAAGCGUGGGGAGCGAACAGGAUUAGAUACCCUGGUAGUCCACGCCGUAAACGAUGAGUGCUAAGUGUUAGGGGGUUUCCGCCCCUUAGUGCUGCAGCUAACGCAUUAAGCACUCCGCCUGGGGAGUACGGUCGCAAGACUGAAACUCAAAGGAAUUGACGGGGGCCCGCACAAGCGGUGGAGCAUGUGGUUUAAUUCGAAGCAACGCGAAGAACCUUACCAGGUCUUGACAUCCUCUGACAACCCUAGAGAUAGGGCUUUCCCUUCGGGGACAGAGUGACAGGUGGUGCAUGGUUGUCGUCAGCUCGUGUCGUGAGAUGUUGGGUUAAGUCCCGCAACGAGCGCAACCCUUGAUCUUAGUUGCCAGCAUUCAGUUGGGCACUCUAAGGUGACUGCCGGUGACAAACCGGAGGAAGGUGGGGAUGACGUCAAAUCAUCAUGCCCCUUAUGACCUGGGCUACACACGUGCUACAAUGGACAGAACAAAGGGCUGCAAGACCGCAAGGUUUAGCCAAUCCCAUAAAUCUGUUCUCAGUUCGGAUCGCAGUCUGCAACUCGACUGCGUGAAGCUGGAAUCGCUAGUAAUCGCGGAUCAGCAUGCCGCGGUGAAUACGUU